rnacentral:rRNA from 1 species
UACAGAGGUCCCAAGCGUUACUGAGAAUCACUGGGUUUAAAGGGUGCGUAGGUGGUCCGUUAAGUCAGUUGUGAAAUCCCCGGGCUCAACCCGGGAAAUGCUUCAGAUACUGGCGGACUUGAGGCCAGUAGGGGUCACUAGAACUGACGGUGGAGCGGUGAAAUGCGUAGAUAUCGUCAGGAAUGCCGGUGGUGAAGACGGGUGACUGGGCUGGUUCUGACACUGAGGCACGAAAGCGUGGGGAGCGAACGGG